UACGGAGGGUGCAAGCGUUAAUCGGAAUUACUGGGCGUAAAGGGUGUGUAGGCGGUUGCUUAAGUUUGGUGUGAAAUCUCCCGGCUCAACUGGGAGGGUGCGCCGAAUACUGAGUGACUCGAGUGCGGGAGAGGAAAGUGGAAUUCCUGGUGUAGCGGUGAAAUGCGUAGAUAUCAGGAGGAACACCGGUGGUGUAGACGGCUUUCUGGACCGUAACUGACGCUGAAACACGAAAGCGUGGGUAGCAAACAGG
rnacentral:rRNA from 1 species